rnacentral:rRNA from 1 species
GCAGUAGCCGCGGUAAAACAGAGGGUGCGAGCGUUAAUCGGAUUUACUGGGCGUAAAGCGUGCGUAGGCGGCUUUUUAAGUCGGAUGUGAAAUCCCUGAGCUUAACUUAGGAAUUGCAUUCGAUACUGGGAAGCUAGAGUAUGGGAGAGGAUGGUAGAAUUCCAGGUGUAGCGGUGAAAUGCGUAGAGAUCUGGAGGAAUACCGAUGGCGAAGGCAGCCAUCUGGCCUAAUACUGACGCUGAGGUACGAAAGCAUGGGGAGCAAACAGGAUUAGAUACCCCGGUAGUCCCUGUCCUUAUACA